AAGUUAGGGUACCGUCACAUUCAACUAGUUGACACUGAUAGUUUUACACUUCUGUGGCAUCUGGCUUCUUUGUUUUUAUUUUUAAUUCUGUCAUGUAUCAAAACAGUAUCAGCCUUUGCUGGUAACAGCUUUGCUUUAGUAUUGAAAGAGUAACACGCGGUGGUGUUUUUUGAUCUGCUUUAGGAUCUGUUGCCUGGUCUGCUUCAUACUCAUGUCGUGUGUUGUGUACAGAGUGUCCUCACAUCAGCAAGUUGUCAAAAUCACAUGAUUUGUUUGAUCAUAGUUUUCGACGAAAUAAAUAUUUAAUUUAAUUGAAAUCGGCUCGUGCGCCACGUGAUCGCAGUAUCUUGGUAGAGUAUUUUGCUGGCAUUACAAUCGUGUAAUUCACUGCCUUCCUCCUUUCAAUUAGACUUCGGGUAUGGAAUAUUCACUUUGCUCGUUGUUGCUUAGGCACUUUUUCAAGGACAACCUUAUUUCGCCAGGUGGUGUGCAGCCAUCCUACUGCCAUAGGGAUUUCGAUGAGAGUUGCUAUUCUUAGACAAGGAUACAUUACUCGUGGGAUUAUGCUUCGCAAGUGUCUUGAGUGUCUUGUUUUUCAUAGUGCAUCCGCUGUCCUUCCGACACGACAUCUCAAUGCUGAAGAAAUAAUGCAUUUGUAGUGUUUUCACGUUUAGAAACAUUUCGAAAAAUACUUGCUCUGCAGACUUUUAUUAAGCUUCAAGCAACCAUUCUCUGGAAUUUGGUUUCUUUUUUGAGAGGUGUGGAUGUACACAUCUGGAGAACAAAGAGAGGUCUGAGGCGUGCUCCUCUGCGGGACAACCCAACCCCCCUGCGGAAUGCGCGAGUUAUGUAACGCAGGAUUUCCCAGUGGUAGUGUGGGCUAGUGUAAACCUGAAAAGGCGAAAAGGUGUGCUGAAGCGCGCUUCAUAAAUCGGAAGUUUAACUGGGAUCGCUCCAAGCCAUGAGGUCGCAGCACCAGGACUGAGUCAGCUCGGUGGACACGCGAUGGACAGGGAAAUGGACAUACAGGAGGAGGAUGUGGAGGCGUCGUGGGGGCUGCUGUCGUGGCUGGCCUCCAGCGUGAUGGUGUUUGGCGGGGCCGUGCCCUACGUGCCCCAGUACCAGGAGAUCCAGCGCAGCGGCAACACGAGGGCUUCUCCACCCGCGUCUGCCUCGUGCUGCUCAUCGCUAACAUCCUGCGCAUCUUCUUCUGGAUAGGGAAGCAAUUUGAGCUGACGCUGCUGCUCCAGAGUCUGGUGAUGAUCCUGACCAUGUUUGCUAUGCUGUAUCUCUGCUGCGCCAUCCAGGGCAGCAACCGGGUUACCACCAAACAGCAUCACAUCGCAGGUAAGACCCACCCACCCAC